GGGGGGACGCAGUAGGAUAGGCGAAGCGUACGAUUGGAUUGUACGUCCAAGCAGUGAGAUUGAGUGUUAGGCAAAUCCGGCACUCGUAAGAUUGAGCUGUGAUGGGGAGAGGAAAUUGUUUCCUCGAGUCGUUGAUUUCACACUGCCGAGAAAAGCCUCUAGAUAGAUAAUAGGUGCCCGUACCGCAAACCGACACAGGUAGUCAAGAUGAGAAUUCUAAGGUGAGCGAGCGAACUCUCGUUAAGGAACUCGGCAAAAUGACCCCGUAACUUCGGGAGAAGGGGUGCUCUUUAGGGUGCAAGCCCAGAAGAGCCGCAGUGAAUAGGCCCAAGCGACUGUUUAUCAAAAACACAGGUCUCUGCUAAACCGUAAGGUGAUGUAUAGGGGCUGACGCCUGCCCGGUGCUGGAAGGUUAAGAGGAGUGGUUAGCUUCUGCGAAGCUACGAAUCGAAGCCCCAGUAAACGGCGGCCGUAACUAUAACGGUCCUAAGGUAGCGAAAUUCCUUGUCGGGUAAGUUCCGACCCGCACGAAAGGCGUAACGAUUUGGGCACUGUCUCAACGAGAGACUCGGUGAAAUCAUAGUACCUGUGAAGAUGCAGGUUACCCGCGACAGGACGGAAAGACCCCGUGGAGCUUUACUGUAGCCUGAUAUUGAAAUUCGGCACAGCUUGUACAGGAUAGGUAGGAGCCUUUGAAGCGUGAGCGCUAGCUUACGUGGAGGCGCUGGUGGGAUACUACCCUAGCUGUGUUGGCUUUCUAACCCGCACCACUUAUCGUGGUGGGAGACAGUGUCAGGCGGGCAGUUUGACUGGGGCGGUCGCCUCCUAAAAGGUAACGGAGGCGCUCAAAGGUUCCCUCAGAAUGGUUGGAAAUCAUUCAUAGAGUGUAAAGGCAUAAGGGAGCUUGACUGCGAGACUUACAAGUCGAGCAGGGUCGAAAGACGGACUUAGUGAUCCGGUGGUUCCGCAUGGAAGGGCCAUCGCUCAACGGAUAAAAGCUACCCCGGGGAUAACAGGCUUAUCUCCCCCAAGAGUUCACAUCGACGGGGAGGUUUGGCACCUCGAUGUCGGCUCAUCGCAUCCUGGGGCUGUAGUCGGUCCCAAGGGUUGGGCUGUUCGCCCAUUAAAGCGGUACGCGAGCUGGGUUCAGAACGUCGUGAGACAGUUCGGUCCCUAUCCGUCGUGGGCGUAGGAAAUUUGAGAGGAGCUGUCCUUAGUACGAGAGGACCGGGAUGGACAUACCUCUGGUGUACCAGUUGUCGUGCCAACGGCAUAGCUGGGUAGCUAUGUAUGGACGGGAUAAGUGCUGAAAGCAUCUAAGCAUGAAGCCCCCCUCAAGAUGAGAUUUCCCAACUUCGGUUAUAAGAUCCCUCAAAGAUGAUGAGGUUAAUAGGUUCGAGGUGGAAGCGUGGCGACACGUGGAGCUGACGAAUACUAAUCGAUCGAAGACUUAAUCAAUU
rnacentral:rRNA from 1 species